GAUGAACGCUGGCGGCGUGCCUAAUACAUGCAAGUCGAGCGAACAGACGAGGAGCUUGCUCCUCUGACGUUAGCGGCGGACGGGUGAGUAACACGUGGAUAACCUACCUAUAAGACUGGGAUAACUUCGGGAAACCGGAGCUAAUACCACCUCAUAUAUUGAACCGCAUGGUUCAAUAGUGAAAGACGGUUUUGCUGUCACUUAUAGAUGGAUCCGCGCCGCAUUAGCUAGUUGGUAAGGUAACGGCUUACCAAGGCGACGAUGCGUAGCCGACCUGAGAGGGUGAUCGGCCACACUGGAACUGAGACACGGUCCAGACUCCUACGGGAGGCAGCAGUAGGGAAUCUUCCGCAAUGGGCGAAAGCCUGACGGAGCAACGCCGCGUGAGUGAUGAAGGUCUUCGGAUCGUAAAACUCUGUUAUUAGGGAAGAACAAAUGUGUAAGUAACUAUGCACGUCUUGACGGUACCUAAUCAGAAAGCCACGGCUAACUACGUG
rnacentral:rRNA from 1 species